GAAAAAAGGAAAACAGAAAAACUUUUUACGCCACUCGGUGAAAAGCUGCCACAUCCAGAUGUAUUAAAAACGUUGAGUAGUGACUUAAUGGACUUUCCUACAUUAAUAGAUAGUGACAUCUACAAUUAUUUUGUGCUGAAAAUGAACACACAAAAACAAUUGAGAUCAAAAAAUUGUAUUAUGUUUACAGACAUAAACACAGUAUUUUGUACCAUGACAUAAGUGACAAAUGGGAACAUUGUUUUGUUAAAUGCAAAGUAUUACCAUCACUACCGAGUGCAAAUGUGAAAGAAAACCCAGAUCACAGUGUGUGGCUCUGUCUGUCAAAGGUCACUGGACAGGUUCAUUCAGCGGAAUGUAAUUGCACAGCCGGGAGCGGAGAAGCAUGUAUCCAUAUUGGUGCAUUUAUGUAUGCCCUUUCUGAUCUCACUGCUAAAAAGAAGGACGGCACUCUAAGAUCAACCUCAAAAAAAUGCGUGUGGGACAGAUUUAAUAAUCCCCGGAAAAGAAAGCGAACGCCUAAAAAGUCUAGCGAAUUUACAUUUCGGAAACAUACCUUUGAGUCAAAAUUAGAGCCAGUCGAAAAUAACACCAGAAAAGAACUUCUUGCGAUUUCUGUAAAUGAGAACAGUUUCCGUUCAAAACUCGAAAAUAUGCAACCCAACAGCUGGAUGGCUUUUGAACUUUGUAGAAGAGAAGGAAGAGGUGAAAUUACCAAAGUUUAUAGAAAUUGGAUAUAACUUUAGUGAUAGCGUAGAUCUGAAUAGUGAAACUGUGAAGGAUAAAAUGUCGAAAAUGAUGGAUAUGCUACAAAUGGAUGAACUUGAAUGCCAAAGUAUUGAAAAAUUAACCAGAGGUCAGGGAAAGAACGUACUUUGGGAAGAUGAAAGAAAAUUACGUGUAACUGCAUCCAAUUUUGGUGAAGUAAUUUUACUGAAACAAGAGACUGAAAGAUUUAAAAGAAAUUGAGUGCAAUCUUUAAAGAAUAGUAACAAAUAUGAAUUUAAGAUCACAAUUGUGAAUUUCUCGCAAGCUUACCCUUGCUCCUAGAAUAUGUUUUUAUAAUUUUGAUGUCUCACUUUUCUCUAGAGAUUAACCCUUUACUUCUUAAAUAUGUAUUUUCAAGCUUUUGUAGUUCCUUAAAAAGUUAAAUGUAAUAAAGUACCUUUAUUACUAAAUUUAAGUUUUAAAGGCUUCAUUUCCAACCCUUAAAUACUGAUGAGCAGCAAACAGUAUAAAACCUGAACAGACUGCGAGUUACUAGCAUGCUGUUCUGGUUUUAUGCUGUUUUCACUGUGCUUCCAAGUGGAAUAGGGUUAAAUAACAAAAGUUAACGCCAGAUCAGAAAAUAAUUUAAGUAACAACAGUACAGGACAUCAUUGAGGUCCCUCCUUUUUUAUGUUUCAAUAGUCAUUUAGCUCUACAAAGCAUAUAAAUAUUGUACAUAAAAGUGUAUGAAUGUAUAAAUAUUUAUCAACUGUUCAUAUUAUGAAUUUUACAGUAGUACAUGUAGAAUGCUUUUCAACGAUUUGUGUACGGUUCAUUAAUACCAUCACAACGUGAUUGUCAAUUGUUAUUCCGCUAAAUUGAUUUGCUCUUAAAAUGAUAAAUCAUAAAAAGAACUUUUGCUAUGUUAUUAUCCAUCACUUAUUACCUUACCUGUGUUUGGAGAAAAACCGAAGGGUUUACGAUAAUAAUCUGUUUCAAAAUGUUAAAAUGAUAUGAAAUUAAUGAGUGGCAAGCAUGAACCAAAUUAAGAAAAUCAACACAGAGGUAUCAACAGCUGCAUCUUAUUAAAAAUCUGUGCACAAUGCUUUUUGUCCAAGUAUAGAUCAUUUCAGAACCCCAUUGAGUUAAUAGACACCUUGGAAGCUUUGCUGGUAUGACUUCUGCUUUACAUCUGACAAGUACUCUGCAGGUGUUGCUACUUGUAUCAGAAAUCUUGGUUUUAAACAAGAGCUGUCACCAUAGGAUGACUUAUGCCCCCUAUAUACGCUUGAUAGAAGUUAUGAGCAUUUUCCCAAACCUAAAUGCAUAUUUCGAAACCUAAACACGGACCCUAAGUUUAAGGUCAAGGUCACAGGGGUCAAAGUUUGUGUGCAUAUGGAAAGGCCUUGACCAUAUACACAUGCAUGCCAAAUAUGAAAAUGCUAUCUGAAGCGACAUAGAAGUUAUGAGCAUUUUUCGAAACCUAAACGCAAAGUGUGACGGACAGACCGACAGACAGUCCGAUCACUAUAGCGACAUAGAAGUUAUGAGCUUUUUUCGAAACCUAAAUGCAUAUUCGAAACCUAAACGCGGACCCUUAGUUUAAGGUCAAGGUCACAGGGGUCAAAAUUUGUGUGCGUAUGGAAAAGCUUUGUCCAUAUACACAUGCAUGCCAAAUAUGAAAUUGCUAUCCAAAGCGACAUAGCAGUUAUGAGGAUUUUUCGAAACCUAAACGCAAAGUGUGACGGACGGACAGACCGACAGACAGUCUGAUCACUAUAUGCCCUCCUUCGGGGGCAUAAAAAUUCUUGACGGGUUUAUUGCUCCCAAUUAUAAAUUAACUGUUGAUUAAGUCUUCAGUAGCAGUACUAAACCUUAAAGACAAACAUUUACUUAGGUAUACAAAAGAAAUCUGUGUUUUCAACGCUCUGUGUCAAUUAAUGUAUGUAAACUUGAAUCCAGUACAAUAUUUAUCAGAAUUUCAGUCUUAUAAUUUGUUUGGUCUUACAAAACUGCUUUCAAGCAAGAAAACAUGUAUAAAUAUAUUGGCACAAACACACAAACGCAGAAACACAAUUUUCUUUUUUUGCCUGAAAAUGUUUGUAUGGAAUAUGAGACAAGAAAAUAAUAAUCAGUAACAAUUUUAUUUUCACAAAUGAAAGCUGACUGUAAAAUGUGAAAUUAAGUAUUAUUCACAUAAUUACAUAGUAUAUUACUUAUACAUACAUGCAAUGGUCAAACACUUCUAGUUAAAUUGUAUACUGAAUUUCUCACAAAGUUCACUUGUUCAGCUUCUUAUCAAACUUAAUUUGUACUAGUUUUAAGGAGCCACUUUUCCAGUUUAUAUUAGCAUGACUAUUUUCAGUUUAUAAACACACUUUAUUUUCCGGGGACAGGUUUUUCGUGCUAACCCUGCUUUCAUUCCAACACUGACCUCAUCAAAUAAACACUCAAAAGUUCCAGCAGUUGGGAUACCAGUGUAGAACAACACCUUAUCGUCAUCAUCCCUUAUAUCCUCAAAGGUGAAGCUAGGCCGAUCCACUUGUAUCCCAACUGUCGACGUUUCAGUAGAAGUCUGGGUUGAUAUACUUCUGGGAACUCUCGUAUCGUCGGUUUGAGUAACCACAGAAAUCAGCUCCGGUUGCACUUGUUCACACUGAUGACGGAUUAUGGCGGGUACUGGUGUAAACCUUCCAUAGUCAUGGAGCUGAAAUAAAUAAAUACAUUUUUACAAGCAAAGUAAAUGCAGUUUGAAGUAAAGAUUAUAGGUCUUUCUGUAUUUUACUAAGGCAUCACCAAACUGAUAACUUCUUCAGUUUUUUUCUUUAAAAAUGGGAAGAGCAUGAAAAACAACUAUCUAUUUAUACUGCCAAGUGCCCUUUCGAGCAUGGUAGGCAGACAUGGACAUUAUCGAGUCGGUUUCCUGGGAAGAACCAGUACUUGGUGUCCAUGGAGGAGAUAAUUAGAAUGCUUCCCAAGUAAGGAGUGAACCCACUAACACCCGAUCGCUAGGCGGAUAUCUCAUCCACUACAACACCGCGACCUUGAACUACAAAUAUUUUUUUAUGUCCCCCACUAUAGAAGUGGGGGACAUAUUGUUUUUGCCCUGUCUGUUGGUUGGUCUGUUGGUUGGUUGGUUUGCGCCAACUUAAACAUUUUGCAAUAACUUUUGCUAUAUUGAAUAUAGCAACUUGAUAUUUGGCAUGCAUGAGUAUCUCAUGGAGCUGCACAUUUUGAGUGGUGAAAGGUCAGAGGUCAAAUAUAUGUGGCCUAAAUUGCUCAUUUUAUGAAUACUUUUGCAAUAUUGAAGAUAGCAACUCGAUAUUUGGCAUGCAUGUGUAUCUCAUGGAGCUGCACAUUUUGAGUGGUGAAAGGUCAAAGUCAAGGUCAUCCUUCAAGGUCAGAGGUAAAACAUAUUUGUCCCAAAUCGCUUAUUUUAUUAAUACUUUUGAAAUAUUGAAGAUAGCAACUUGAUAUUUGGCAUGCAUGUGUAUCUCAUGGAGCUGCACAAUUUGAGUGGUGAAAGGUCAAGGUCAUCCUUCAAGGUCAAGGUCAUCCUUAAAGGUCAAAUAUAUGGGUCAAAAUUGCUCAUGUAAUGUCACUUCUGCAAUAUUGAAGCUAGCAAUUUUAUAUUUGAAAUGCAUGUGUAUCUCAUGGAGCUGCACAUUUUGAGUGGUGAAGGGUCAAGGUCAUCCUUCAAGGUCAAACAUUAUUUAGGGGGACAUUGUGUUUCACAAACGCAUCUUGUUUCAAAUUAUCUUUAUUCAACAACAUUUUGUAUAACGAUAAAACAACUCACUCUUAGAGAUACGUCUAGUAGUGAUGCACUGCUUUCAACCAACAAACCAUCUGCCUCGUUCUCGAAACUCAAGUCUGGUGAACGGUUAUCUGACAUUUCCUCAGUUUCUGGUGUGGAAUUCGUCUCAUCUGCUUCAGGGCCAUUUUCCAGAGUCUGUAAGGUAAACAAAUAAAAUUAAAUCAGCACAUCAAAGACCUAGAAAUACACAUACUUUUUCAAACUAACAUGAAAGAAUGAUGUUCAGAUACGUAAUAUUUAUGCUUCUGUAUCAUGUUGUAAACACCGUCAGAUUCUAUACCGAUAGAGUAACUGACCCAUGUUCAUUCUUGAAACCUCGUAUAGCCUAGUGGCAACAUAUCCGCUUCAAAAUAUCAGAUACCAUUGGUUCGAUCCUCGGCUGUGAGCUACAUAAAAUAAAUCAUGAACUGUGCCAUGGGUAUGUCUGCCAUUAUCCCAUGCUUGAUUGUACCACAAGGAAUCACUGAUUUGAAUAGUAAGCUCGAUUUAAUAAUCCAUCGGAAUCGUUUUAAGGUGAUAAUCUGAUUACACGCAGUGCGCAAUCUGAUUAUGUGAUGACUUAAAUUAGUAUAAGUAUUAA